UGUGUGAGGGACCUUUUUCCUCCUCAGGGGCGGCUGUGUGAGGGACCUUUUCCUUUCUCAAGGGUGGUUGUGUGAGGGGCUUUUCCCCACCCUCAGGGGCAGCUGUGUGAGGGGCUUUUCUCCCCGCUCAGGGGUUGCUGUGUGAAGGGCUCUUCUCCCCCUCAUCAGAGGUGUAGUCGUCAGAGGCCUUUCCCUCCCCUCAGGGGCAAGUGUGUGAGGGGUUUUCUGCCCCCCUCAGGUGCUCACCAUGUCCCUGCCAGCAAAGAGGUGUGGAAGGCCCCCGGUGUUGUCCUUCCUGGAAAAGAAAAAGAGAAAGCAAAGUCUUGAUAGAAGAAGGGGCAAAACGAGGAUUUAUGUGGGAAAUCACAUUGAGCGAUGGCUGACCCUUAAGGAGAAGCUGGAUUUCAGGAACGAUGCAGAAGUUGCAGGGUUUUUGUUGGAUUUGUAUGACAGCUAUGACCUAUUGUCCAAAGCCUCGCUCUGUCCCCUCCCUGAGGGUGUCAGGAGGAUCACUGUGAAGGAAGAAAGAGCUUUGUCAGACAGCACAUCUUUAAUAGCAGCAGAUGGAACGUAUGACAAUGAGGAGCAGCUGCCUAAAGAAUCUGCUUGUUCUGGGCUGGGAGAUGUGAGAGUUGUGACUGUGAAGGAGGAGCAAGAGACACCCCAGGACUGUGUGUUGGCACGGGCAGAUGACACGUUAGUGACACUCUGGUCCUUUGCAUGUUUUGCAUUCGAAAGUAUUUUGAUUUUAUUAUCACAUUUAAUUUUGUUUAUUAGAAGUUCAUGUCAUUCAUGCUCUGAUUCAUUAUCUAAAAACGUCUCGGUGCAUAAUAGAUGGUCCAGUUCUUCUGAGGCAAAAAUCUGAGGGAUUUUGGAAAAGUUGUAAGAGUACACACAGCAAAAAUAUUUGUUCAGUGACUGCCUUCCCUAAUUGUAGACAAGGUCCUGAGUGAACAAGGAAAGAGCCAGUGCUUUACAUGUAUCCUCCUCAGCAGUUGGAUAUUUACAGAAGUACAAUGUCCAGGCAAGUGCAGCUGCAUGUGCUUUAACCUUUCUCAGAAGAAAAAUGUUUCACUGUUGUCUGAGUGUUGUUACACACUAAGUGAUGUGUUAAACUAUCUAAAAAUAGUGCUGUGCUCAGCGAGGCCACCCCACCAUCGGCUGCUGGUCUGUGUUACUGCAGAGUCUCCAGUAACUGAGGCAUUCCCACUGAGAUCAGAGGAGCCUCCAAUAGGGGGACACAGAGGCCGUAGGACAUUGCACUGGCAUUGCAUGAUGUGUCCAAACCCCUGGCUAAGAUGGUGAAUAGGUGAACAACCUGAGGUUCUGAAAGCAGUUCUGUGGCACAGAAGAAUUCUUGGAAGCUAGGGCAGGAGAAAACAAAUACCAGUGCUGAUGAAGCUGACAAAUUCAAGUACAUUCUUCAAAACAGCAUUUUUCACUGGCAAUGUAAUUUUAGUUUGGAGUGCAGCAAUAAUUGAAUUCCUGCCACUGAUUUGAUACAGGGUGAGCAGCAAGAAGAAAAUCGAGCUCUUGCAUAACAAUACUGGGGCAGUUUUUUGGUCUGUUUUGAUUUUUGCUGUGAGGGUAUUGUGAACUGUAAGUUGUAUGAAACUCCAUGUUAUGUGUAGAACAGCACAUUAAACUUAAUUCCCUGAA